GACGAACGCUGGCGGCGUGCUUAACACAUGCAAGUCGAGCGGUAAGGCCCUUUCGGGGGUACACGAGCGGCGAACGGGUGAGUAACACGUGGGUGACCUGCCUUUAGCUCUGGGAUAAGCCUGGGAAACUGGGUCUAAUACCGGAUAUGACCCUAUGGCGCAUGUUGUGGGGUGGAAAGCCUUGUGCGGCUAGGGAUGGGCCCGCGGCCUAUCAGCUUGUUGGUGGGGUGAUGGCCCACCAAGGCGACGACGGGUAGCCGGCCUGAGAGGGCGACCGGCCACACUGGGACUGAGACACGGCCCAGACUCCUACGGGAGGCAGCAGU
rnacentral:rRNA from 1 species